rnacentral:rRNA from 1 species
CCUACGGGAGGCAGCAGUGGGGAAUAUUGGGCAAUGGAGGAAACUCUGACCCAGCAACGCCGCGUGAAGGAUGAAGGUUUUCGGAGUGUAAACUUCUGUCGCGAGGGAAGAAGAAUGACGGUACCGCGGAAGAAAGCCCAGGCAAACUACGUGCCAGCAGCCGCGGUAAGACGUAGGGGGCGAGCGUUGUCCGGAAUGACGGGGCGUAAAGGGAGUGUAGGCGGCAUCUUUAGUUAUGGGUGCAAGCCCGCGGCUCAACCGCGGAAUUGCACCUCAAACUGGUAAGCUGGAUUGCAGGAGAGGUAAGUGGAAUUCCCGGUGUAGCGGUGCACUGCGUCGAUCUCGGGCGGAACUCCAGCGGCGAAGGCGCCUUACUGGACUGUAACUGACGCUGCGGCUCGCACGCGUGGGGAGCACACAGGAUUAGAUACCCGUGUAGUC